rnacentral:rRNA from 1 species
CCUACGGGUGGCUGCAGUGGGGAAUAUUUGACAAUGGGGGGAACCCUGAUCCAGCCAUGCCGCGUGUGUGAAGAAGGCCCUCGGGUUGUAAAGCACUUUCAGUGAGGAAGAACGCCUGGUGGUUAAUACCCAUCAGGAAAGACAUCACUCACAGAAGAAGCACCGGCUAACUCCGUGCCAGCAGCCGCGGUAAUACGGAGGGUGCGAGCGUUAAUCGGAAUUACUGGGCGUAAAGCGCGCGUAGGUGGCUUGAUAAGCCGGUUGUGAAAGCCCCGGGCUCAACCUGGGAACGGCAUCCGGAACUGUCAAGCUAGAGUGCAGGAGAGGAAGGUAGAAUUCCCGGUGUAGCGGUGAAAUGCGUAGAGAUCGGGAGGAAUACCAGUGGCGAAGGCGGCCUUCUGGACUGACACUGACACUGAGGUGCGAAAGCGUGGGUAGCAAACAGGAUUAGAUACCCGAGUAGUC